GAUGAACGCUGACAGAAUGCUUAACACAUGCAAGUCAACUUGAAUUUGGGUUUUUAACUUAGGUUUGGGUGGCGGACGGGUGAGUAACGCGUAAAGAACUUGCCUCACAGCUAGGGACAACAUUUGGAAACGAAUGCUAAUACCUAAUAUUAUGAUAAUAGGGCAUCCUAUAAUUAUGAAAGCUAUAAGCGCUGUGAGAGAGCUUUGCGUCCCAUUAGCUAGUUGGAGAGGUAACGGCUCACCAAGGCGAUGAUGGGUAGCCGGCCUGAGAGGGUGAUCGGCCACAAGGGGACUGAGACACGGCCCUUACUCCUACGGGAGGCAGCAGUGGGGAAUAUUGGACAAUGGACCGAGAGUCUGAUCCAGCAAUUCUGUGUGCACGAUGAAGUUUUUCGGAAUGUAAAGUGCUUUCAGUUGGGAAGAAACAAAUGACGGUACCAACAGAAGAAGUGACGGCUAAAUACGUGCCAGCAGCCGCGGUAAUACGUAUGUCACGAGCGUUAUCCGGAUUUAUUGGGCGUAAAGCGCGUCUAGGUGGUUAUGUAAGUCUGAUGUGAAAAUGCAGGGCUCAACUCUGUAUUGCGUUGGAAACUGUAUAACUAGAGUACUGGAGAGGUAAGCGGAACUACAAGUGUAGAGGUGAAAUUCGUAGAUAUUUGUAGGAAUGCCGAUGGGGAAGCCAGCUUACUGGACAGAUACUGACGCUGAAGCGCGAAAGCGUGGGUAGCAAACAGG
rnacentral:rRNA from 1 species